GAGCAGGAGUCACAUCCGAGGGCUGGGUCAUUAUCUGAUAAAUGAGUGGGUUGUGCAGAUGAGUAAACAGGGACUGACCCAGAGGUCAGGUGUAACUCAGCCUCAGAAACUGCAUGUGUCAAUAGGAAUCGAAGGGCCAAGGAAUGUGGUUUUCGUUGAUGUCAACUUGCUGCAAAGGACCACACCUGCUUCUCGACCCGGGAACGUGGGAAAGGGAAAGGCAUGGCUUGUUUUGGUGGAGAUGGAGGAGCUGGUAACAGUGGAGGAAUGCCCUUCUGCUGACUCACAGCGGGGAGGUGCUCUGGGCCCCUGCCACUGCCCGAGGACUUCGGCUUUCGGUUGUCCUGAUGAGAGGACGCAGCAUUUGAGCAGUAGCUUCUGGAACCCAGAGUGAAGCCCCACCCAGGCACCCUGACAGCACCACGGGAAUGCUCCCGGCACAGCAGGCGGGACUCUGGAGAAGCACAGCCUCCGUGCUCCUUGUAGAUGUUCAGUUCAAACUCCACGGUGAGGUUACCAGGAACGUCAGCCUGAGGAGAAUCAGCUCUUCCACACCAAAUCCUGACGAUCACAUGGCAGAGUGAGCUGGAGCGAGGUACCAGCAGACCUCUUAGGGUCUUGCUCCAUUGUCCAGCUAGAGUGCAGUGGCAAGAUGAUGGCUCACUACAGCCUCCAUCUCGUGGGCUUAAGUUAAGAGCCCUCCCCCACGGCUCAGCCUGCCCUGAGGCCAGUCCACGUGCAUGGCGCAUGGCUGCCUUCAAGACAUCUCCAAGAAGCCCUCGCUGAGAAGCCCCCUGGUGCACACACAAAAUCAUGUCGCUAUUUAGUUGAAUUUCUUCAUUGUACAGGUUAAGAAAUGGAAGAUGUGACUCUCAAGGAUUAUACACAACUAAAACUGUGUGAACCGGCGAUGAGUACCCGGGCAACAUGGAAGUGGGAAUUUCUCACCAACCCACGGGCCAGGAUCCAGCCUCAACGCUUGUGAGGAUCCAGCCUCAACGCUCUGCACAUCUCCAGUGUGGAACAGCACCAUGCGCCUAAUGAGUUCUUCUCUGACUGAUUGAUUGAUUGAUGACUAAAACACUCAGCACUCCUGGCAAAGCAGUUCUCACACUGUUGAACAAAUUAUCUUUAUGCACUGCAGUCUCUUGAGCUUAGAUGAAGGCAAACUCACUGCAAUCUUCAGAUCAUUUAGCAAUGCCUUGGAAUCAUUGGAUAUGAGAAAAUAUCCAGGCAUGUGGAAUAGGAAGGGGGAAGAAAAGCAGGACUUGGAGAGACUGUGCUAGUGGAUUUCAACUCUAUAUUUUCUAAUCUGAACCAGGGGCACGCAAACUACUGCCUUGUAGGCCAAAUCUGGCCAGUGGCCUGUUUUAUCAUUGAUUGAUUGAUUGAUUGAUGGGGUCUUGUCUUGCUCUGUCACCCAGGCUGGAGUGCAUUGGCUCGAUCAUUGUUCACUGCAGCCUCGAGCUCUUGGACUCAAGCCAUCCUCCCACCUCA